UACGUAGGGAGCAAGCGUUGUCCGGAAUCAUUGGGCGUAAAGCGCGCGUAGGCGGCAAGGUGUGUCGUGCGUGAAAUCUCCCGGCUUAACUGGGAGGGGCCGUGCGAAACUGCCUGGCUUGAGGUCGGAAGGGGAAAGUGGAAUUCCGGGUGUAGUGGUGGAAUACGUAGAUAUCCGGAGGAACACCAGCGGCGAAGGCGGCUUUCUGGUCCGAUUCUGACGCUGAGGCGCGAAAGCGUGGGGAGCGAUCCGG
rnacentral:rRNA from 1 species